GCGCCUCGGCGUAGAAGGAGCGCAGCACGCGGCACAGCGCCCCCUUGUCCAUGGUCUCGAAGUCCGGGCUCUGCGCCUUCUCGCUCAGCCGUUUCAGAUGCUGCCUAGACAGUUUGCAAACCACCGGCAGGCCUCCCGCCUGCGACACCGACCAAGGACGCACCUUGGAGAGCGCGCCGGGCCCUGGUCGCGCGGAGGCUGAGUCGGCUCCUGGCGCCAGUCCUUGACCCGCUUCCAAAAUCCUCUGCCCAUCACGAUAUGUCGUCACAUGUUGGAAAACACCUCUUGAGAGUUUCACUACUGAAUUCCUUGGACUUCCAUUGAAGACUGUCUUGACAAUGUUUUUCUGAAUUCGGAUGAAAACAGAACCUGUGCCAUCCAACUCUACAGACUGGAAGAAGAAAACUCCAGAAGAGCAAGAUCUAUGUCGUAUCGGUCACGGCGGGCCUGAUUCCCUGCCAGCAGAGUUCCCGAGCAUGUGGCUGGCACACGGCGGACACUCGGUAAACGUACACAUGUGCCACCUGCAUGUGUGGAGAGAGCUAACCCCCACGGAAGGGGAUGCAGCCAGGUGGUUCCAAACUUCAUCUUUGAAACCAGUCUGCCCGGGUUUGACGCCUGGCUUGGCUUUACCAGGGGCCCUCUUUGUGUCUCAGUUCUCCCACUUUAUUAUCUGGAUGACGCUAAUGAUAGCCCCUCCAUCCGGGGUUGUGGUGAGAGUUGACUGGGUUAAUAUUGGUGAAGGAGGCAACCCAGUGCCUGGAGCAUUAGCAAACAGCCAACGGUUAGCUCUCGCUCUGAAGGCUUGGUGAUAAACACAACACCAAGGCCAGGGGCCUCCCAGAGGGUGAGCGGCUCGGCCAGGUCUCCCAGAGCCCAGGUUGCCCCGACCUCACUGGGCAGGAGAGUGAGGCCCACAGCCCAGGCUUGAGUCCCUGGACCACACGGAGCUUCCAGGAACCAGAGAAU